GAUGAACGCUGGCGGCGUGCCUAAUACAUGCAAGUCGAGCGAACGGACGAGAAGCUUGCUUCUCUGAUGUUAGCGGCGGACGGGUGAGUAACACGUGGAUAACCUACCUAUAAGACUGGGAUAACUUCGGGAAACCGGAGCUAAUACCGGAUAAUAUUUUGAACCGCAUGGUUCAAAAGUGAAAGACGGUCUUGCUGUCACUUAUAGAUGGAUCCGCGCUGCAUUAGCUAGUUGGUAAGGUAACGGCUUACCAAGGCAACGAUGCAUAGCCGACCUGAGAGGGUGAUCGGCCACACUGGAACUGAGACACGGUCCAGACUCCUACGGGAGGCAGCAGUAGGGAAUCUUCCGCAAUGGGCGAAAGCCUGACGGAGCAACGCCGCGUGAGUGAUGAAGGUCUUCGGAUCGUAAAACUCUGUUAUUAGGGAAGAACAUAUGUGUAAGUAACUGUGCACAUCUUGACGGUACCUAAUCAGAAAGCCACGGCUAACUACGUGCCAGCAGCCGCGGUAAUACGUAGGUGGCAAGCGUUAUCCGGAAUUAUUGGGCGUAAAGCGCGCGUAGGCGGUUUUUUAAGUCUGAUGUGAAAGCCCACGGCUCAACCGUGGAGGGUCAUUGGAAACUGGAAAACUUGAGUGCAGAAGAGGAAAGUGGAAUUCCAUGUGUAGCGGUGAAAUGCGCAGAGAUAUGGAGGAACACCAGUGGCGAAGGCGACUUUCUGGUCUGUAACUGACGCUGAUGUGCGAAAGCGUGGGGAUCAAACAGGAUUAGAUACCCUGGUAGUCCACGCCGUAAACGAUGAGUGCUAAGUGUUAGGGGGUUUCCGCCCCUUAGUGCUGCAGCUAACGCAUUAAGCACUCCGCCUGGGGAGUACGACCGCAAGGUUGAAACUCAAAGGAAUUGACGAGGACCCGCACAAGCGGUGGAGCAUGUGGUUUAAUUCGAAGCAACGCGAAGAACCUUACCAAAUCUUGACAUCCUUUGACAACUCUAGAGAUAGAGCCUUCCCCUUCGGGGGACAAAGUGACAGGUGGUGCAUGGUUGUCGUCAGCUCGUGUCGUGAGAUGUUGGGUUAAGUCCCGCAACGAGCGCAACCCUUAAGCUUAGUUGCCAUCAUUAAGUUGGGCACUCUAAGUUGACUGCCGGUGACAAACCGGAGGAAGGUGGGGAUGACGUCAAAUCAUCAUGCCCCUUAUGAUUUGGGCUACACACGUGCUACAAUGGACAAUACAAAGGGCAGCGAAACCGCGAGGUCAAGCAAAUCCCAUAAAGUUGUUCUCAGUUCGGAUUGUAGUCUGCAACUCGACUACAUGAAGCUGGAAUCGCUAGUAAUCGUAGAUCAGCAUGCUACGGUGAAUACGUUCCCGGGUCU
rnacentral:rRNA from 1 species